rnacentral:rRNA from 1 species
AAAAUAUCUAUCCUCCCUCUAAGCCUAGGUAGAAAACUAAGUUAUAAGACAAGGAUGAACACGAUAUAUGGUACUUUUUAAAAUCUGGUUCCCAAAGAAAUAAAACAUUUUAAAAAGAAUUUUAAAAUAAUGUAUUUAGCUUAUGCUGAGUAUAUAUUAGUGAGCAACUAAUUUAAAAAUAUUUAAGGAAUAAUAGUCCCCUCUGUUAUAAUAAAUUACUAUUGACCUAAUUUAUUUAUUAAGCUUCUCUUCUUAUUUGGGUAAUUAAUUCUAAGAAUUAGAACUUGUUUACACUAGUAAAUAUACUUUUAUUAUUUUCUUACUUAAAUAAGUUUUAUCAAUUUUAAAUUAAAUAUAAACUAAAUAACUUGAGAUUUUCCAAACUGUUUAACAAAAACAUAGUAAGACUGUGUCUUAUGUAUCUGCCCAAUGAAUAAUUUUUUAUGGCUUUAAAGUAGCGCAAUAAUUAGUUUAUUAAUUGUAAACCUGUAUGAAGCUAGCAUUGGUUAAUCAUGUUUAUUCUUAUCUGUUGAAUCUUAGUUAUCAGUACAAACGCUGAUAUGCCCCCCGAAGACGAUAAGACCCUAAGACCUUCACCUUGUUUGGCUGGGAUAGCCUACUUAAUAUAAUAAAGAAACCUUAAUUAUUACGAACCAAUUAUUUUGCUAUACAUAGGUACCUUAGGGAUAACAGCGCGUAAUACUUUUAGAGCUCUUAUUUAAAAGAUAUUCGUGACCUCGAUGUUGAAUUAAGUAAUAUAGUGCUGCAGAAGGUGCUAUUUUAAGUCUGUUCGACU